rnacentral:rRNA from 1 species
GUAUGCAAUCUACCUUUCACAGAGGGAUAGCCCAGAGAAAUUUGGAUUAAUACCUCAUAGUAUAGUACCUUGGCAUCAAGGAACUAUUAAAGAUUUAUCGGUGAAAGAUGAGCAUGCGUCCCAUUAGCUAGAUGGUAAGGUAACGGCUUACCAUGGCUACGAUGGGUAGGGGUCCUGAGAGGGAGAUCCCCCACACUGGUACUGAGACACGGACCAGACUCCUACGGGAGGCAGCAGUGAGGAAUAUUGGUCAAUGGGCGCAAGCCUGAUCCAGCCAUGCCGCGUGCAGGAAGAAGGUCCUAUGGAUUGUAAACUGCUUUUAUACAGGAAGAAACACCUCUACGUGUAGAGACUUGACGGUACUGUAUGAAUAAGGACCGGCUAACUCCGUGCCAGCAGCCGCGGUAAUACGGAGGGUCCAAGCGUUAUCCGGAAUCAUUGGGUUUAAAGGGUCCGUAGGCGGCCAAAUAAGUCAGUGGUGAAAGCCCAUCGCUCAACGAUGGAACGGCCAUUGAUACUGUUUGGCUUGAAUUAUUAGGAAGUAACUAGAAUAUGUAGUGUAGCGGUGAAAUGCUUAGAGAUUACAUGGAAUACCAAUUGCGAAGGCAGGUUACUACUAAUAUAUUGACG